UACGUAGGGGGCAAGCGUUGUCCGGAAUCAUUGGGCGUAAAGCGCGUGUAGGCGGCCCGAUAAGUCCGCUGUGAAAGUCCAGGGCUCAACCCUGGGAUGCCGGUGGAUACUGUCGGGCUCGAGUCCGGAAGAGGCGAGUGGAAUUCCUGGUGUAGCGGUGAAAUGCGCAGAUAUCAGGAAGAACACCCGUGGCUAAGGCGGCUCUCUAGUACGGUACUGACGCUGAGACGCGAAAGCGUGGGGAGCGAACAGG
rnacentral:rRNA from 1 species